UGGGGAAUAUUGCACAAUGGGCGCAAGCCUGAUGCAGCCAUGCCGCGUGUGUGAAGAAGGCCUUCGGGUUGUAAAGCACUUUCAGCGGGGAGGAAGGCGAUAAGGUUAAUAACCUUGUCGAUUAACGUUACCCGCAGAAGAAGCACCGGCUAACUCCGUGCCAGCAGCCGCGGUAAUACGGAGGGUGCAAGCGUUAAUCGGAAUUACUGGGCGUAAAGCGCACGCAGGCGGUCUGUCAAGUCGGAUGUGAAAUCCCCGGGCUUAACCUGGGAACUGCAUUCGAAACUGGCAGGCUAGAGUCUUGUAGAGGGGGGUAGAAUUCCAGGUGUAGCGGUGAAAUGCGUAGAGAUCUGGAGGAAUACCGGUGGCGAAGGCGGCCCCCUGGACAAAGACUGACGCUCAGGUGCGAAAGCGUGGGGAGCAAACAGG
rnacentral:rRNA from 1 species